CUUCCAAGUCAGUAAUUUCACUUAUGAAAUGGCCGAGACCCAAGGGAAAAAUUGCCAUGGAUGGCAAUUUUAGGAAACAUAGGACAGGAUGUCCGUUGUUUCCAGCCCGAUCGGUUUGAUAAGAUCUGCCCAUUUCAUUAGUGAAAUCUGAUUGAAAGCU
rfam:Lachnospiraceae bacterium 28-4 genomic scaffold acPFn-supercont1.1, whole genome shotgun sequence.